AAAAAGAAAACUGGAACAAUACAGAAAAUAUUAGCAUGGCCCCUGCACAGGAUGACACACAAUUCGUGAAGCAUUCCAUAUUUUU
ensembl:snRNA U6 U6 spliceosomal RNA